rnacentral:misc_RNA from 1 species
AAAAUUUGAAGGGCUAUGAGCAUUUUGCAAUAAUGAUGGCUUACUAUCCUAGUGGCCCAUAAGAUCAUUAAUUGUUCCCUUAACAACUCCCACAUCAAUCACUUUAGCACAUGUCUUCAGCCCCAUCUUACUGUUCAUUUUUGCUCACUUUUCUUUUUGUAUGUUUUUGAACCUUUGUGUGCGAAAGUAUUAUUUGGAAUGAGAUUGGCACCUCUUCUGUUCGAACUGGGAAAGCCCAUCAUAUUAAGAGGCUCAUGGAGACAAGGUGUCUGGGUUAUGAAAGUAGUUGAGAUCCCAAUGAUGAUAGAGCACCAAGACUUUGACCACUAAGAAAAAGGCAAACAACAGGCAGAAAUAAAGAGAGUGAACUCCUGAUUGCUUGCCCACCAAUGCCUUAAUCAUGCCCAGUAGGGGACAUUCUGGUUCACUCAGAGCUAUAUAGCACUCUCAAAUGUUCAAACUUCAACUUUAUGGAGUCAGGAGUGGUUGAUGCGUAUUCUAACUCAUAAUGAAAAGGGAGCCCUGAAAGUUCUCACAAGGAUUAAGUAGGUGGUGGCAUGAAAUAUAUAAGAGCAUAAAUAGAUGAAA